AAUGAACGCUGGCGGCAGGCCUAACACAUGCAAGUCGAACGGAUCCUUCGGGAUUAGUGGCGGACGGGUGAGUAACGCGUGGGAACAUACCCAAAGGUACGGAAUAGCCUCGGGAAACUGGGAGUAAUACCGUAUGUGCUCGAAAGAGGAAAGAUUUAUCGCCUUUGGAUUGGCCCGCGUUGGAUUAGGUAGUUGGGGGGGUAAUGGCCUACCAAGCCGACGAUCCAUAACUGGUUUGAGAGGAUGAUCAGCCACACUGGGACUGAGACACGGACCAGAAUCGUACGGGAGGCAGCAGUGGGGAAUCUUCGACAAUGGGGGAAACCCUGAUCUAGCCAUGCCGCGUGAUCGAUGAAGGCCUUAGGGUUGUAAAGAUCUUUCAGGUGGGAAGAUAAUGACUGUGCCACCAGAAGGAGCCCCGGCUAACUCCGUGCCAGCCGCCGCAGUAA
rnacentral:rRNA from 1 species